GUGAGUAACGCGUGGGAACGUACCUUUUGGUUCGGAACAACUGAGGGAAACUUCAGCUAAUACCGAAUAAGCCCUUACGGGGAAAGAUUUAUCGCCGAAAGAUCGGCCCGCGUCUGAUUAGCUUGUUGGUGAGGUAACGGCUCACCAAGGCGACGAUCAGUAGCUGGUCUGAGAGGAUGAUCAGCCACAUUGGGACUGAGACACGGCCCAAACUCCUACGGGAGGCAGCAGUGGGGAAUAUUGGACAAUGGGCGAAAGCCUGAUCCAGCCAUGCCGCGUGAGUGAUGAAGGCCCUAGGGUUGUAAAGCUCUUUUGUGCGGGAAGAUAAUGACGGUACCGCAAGAAUAAGCCCCGGCUAACUUCGUGCCAGCAGCCGCGGUAAUACGAAGGGGGCUAGCGUUGCUCGGAAUCACUGGGCGUAAAGGGUGCGUAGGCGGGUUUCUAAGUCAGAGGUGAAAGCCUGGAGCUCAACUCCAGAACUGCCUUUGAUACUGGAAGUCUUGAGUUCGGGAGAGGUGAGUGGAACUGCGAGUGUAGAGGUGAAAUUCGUAGAUAUUCGCAAGAACACCAGUGGCGAAGGCGGCUCACUGGCCCGAUACUGACGCUGAGGCACGAAAGCGUGGGGAGCAAACAGGAUUAGAUACCCUGGUAGUCCACGCCGUAAAC
rnacentral:rRNA from 1 species